GACGAACGCUGGCGGCGUGCUUAACACAUGCAAGUCGAACGGAAAGGCCCUGCUUUUGUGGGGUGCUCGAGUGGCGAACGGGUGAGUAACACGUGAGUAACCUGCCCUUGACUUUGGGAUAACUUCAGGAAACUGGGGCUUAUACCGGAUAGGAGCUCCUGCUGCAUGGUGGUGGUUGGAAAGUUUGGGCGGUUGGGGAUGGGCUCGCGGCUUAUCAGCUUGUUGGUGGGGUAGUGGCUUACCAAGGCUUUGACGGGUAGCCGGCCUGAGAGGGUGAACGGCCACAUUGGGACUGAGAUACGGCCCAGACUCCUACGGGAGGCAGCAGUGGGGAAUAUUGCACAAUGGGCGGAAGCCUGAUGCAGCAACGCCGCGUGCGGGAUGACGGCCUUCGGGUUGUAAACCGCUUUCGCCUGUGACGAAGCGUGAGUGACGGUAAUUGGUAAAGAAGCACCGGCUAACUACGUG
rnacentral:rRNA from 1 species